UACGAAGGGGGCUAGCGUUGCUCGGAAUCACUGGGCGUAAAGCGCACGUAGGCGGAUUGUUAAGUCAGGGGUGAAAUCCUGGAGCUCAACUCCAGAACUGCCUUUGAUACUGGGGAUCUCGAGUCCGGGAGAGGUGAGUGGGAACUGCGAGUGUAGAGGUGAAAUUCGUAGAUAUUCGCAAGAACACCAGUGGCGAAGGCGGCUCACUGGCCCGAUACUGACGCUGAUGACACGGAAAGCGUGGGGGAGCAAACAGG
rnacentral:rRNA from 1 species